UUCCGGAGGAGAUCACCCAGCUCGCCAUGCUAGAGCACUUUUUCAAUGUGCUCCCCAACAAGAAGGCAAUGACGCAUUCAUAUGUCAAUCCAUAUCAACUUUUGAUGCCAUUGACUGCACCUACCAUGGUGACCACAGGUAAUGGGGAAUCAGGGUUCCAUUCCAUACAAGGACCCUAACAAACGGCUACCACAUGCAAGGAAGACAGCAGGAGCAAAUGACCCACUCCCAACGUGGGAAGAUAGUGACAACAAAUAACAAUACUGGACUCUUUAGAGGCCCUGUAAUUGUAAUGAGUCCACUUGAAAUCCUUUAACUCUGAUCAAUUGGAGGAAAGUCUGGUGCAGAGCCACUGACCCGUGCGUGCUGCAGCUGAAACUCCACUA